CUUUCUGUGAACACAUGCUGUGUAGGAGCACUUAUCUGCUUUUGACAUUCCACACUCCUUGCAACCUGGGCCUCACAGCUUUUGGAAAGAACAGACAACUCCUGAAUAGAACAUCUUCCCAGGAACCACCCCACAAGCAUGAGGAGGCUGAUGUGAGCUCUCAACCUUGAAUAGUCUUCCCUUUCCACUUAUUCAGAAUAAAUUUUUGGGGGUUUUUGGGGGAUUUCUUGGU
rnacentral:lncRNA from 1 species